GGAAUAUUGGUCAAUGGGCGCAAGCCUGAACCAGCCAUGCCGCGUGCAGGAUGACGGUCCUAUGGAUUGUAAACUGCUUUUGUACGAGAAGAAACAACUCUACGUGUAGAGUCUUGACGGUAUCGUAAGAAUAAGGAUCGGCUAACUCCGUGCCAGCAGCCGCGGUAAUACGGAGGAUCCAAGCGUUAUCCGGAAUCAUUGGGUUUAAAGGGUCCGUAGGCGGUUUAGUAAGUCAGUGGUGAAAGCCCAUCGCUCAACGGUGGAACGGCCAUUGAUACUGCUAAACUUGAAUUAUUAGGAAGUAACUAGAAUAUGUAGUGUAGCGGUGAAAUGCUUAGAGAUUACAUGGAAUACCAAUUGCGAAGGCAGGUUACUACUAAUGGAUUGACGCUGAUGGACGAAAGCGUGGGUAGCGAACAGGAUUAGAUACCCGGG
rnacentral:rRNA from 1 species